rnacentral:rRNA from 1 species
UACGGGGGGGGCAAGCGUUGUUCGGAAUUACUGGGCGUAAAGGGCGCGUAGGCGGUUCGCUAAGUUGAAUGUGAAAACUCUGGGCUUAACCCAGAGCCUGCAUUCAAUACUGGCGGGCUAGAGUUCUGGAGGGGAUAGCGGAAUUCCUGGUGUAGCGGUGAAAUGCGUAGAUAUCGGGAAGAACACCCGUGGCGAAGGCGGCACUCUGGGACGGUACUGACGCUGAGACGCGAAAGCGUGGGGAGCGAACAGG